UGUAGAUUGUCUGUGUUGUGGAAGUGGGAUUUGUGAGAUUAAGUGCCCCUACUGUCAUCGUGAUGACACAAUUGAAAAGAGUGUUGCUGAUAAAAGUUUUUGUUUGGAAGCCGUUACUGAAGGAAAAGCGUAUCAAUUGAAAAGAAGUCACAUGUAUUACUACCAGGUUCAACUACAAUUGUACUGCAGUAACAGAAGGUAUUGUGACUUCGUCGUUUGGACAUCAGAAGAUAUUUUUGUGGAAAGAAUCUUCCCAAAUACUGAAUUCAUCACUGGAUGCAUUUCAAAAGCAGAGUCAUUUUUUAAGAGAGCUAUUUUACCAGAGUUGCUAGGGAAAUUCUUUUCUCGUGCACCAAAGGAUGCAGUACAAACGGGCGAAGCUGAUGUAUCAACUACUGAACCAGUAUACUGUUACUGCCAACAGCCAGAGAGUGGUCAAAUGGUAGCAUGUGAUAACACCACUUGUCCAUAUCAGUGGUUUCAUUUCGCCUGCUUGAAAUUAUCUGCUCCUCCACGACGAAAAAUCUGGUACUGUCCAGAUUGUAGAAAGAAGUGAUUAUAGUUAAUUAUAGUGUUUUCAUUAUUAUUAUA